GAACUGAACUGAACCACCCUAAGUAUCCCCGAUCUUAUCCGAACUCGGAAGUAAAGCAGGGUUGGGCCUGGUUAAUACUUGGAUGGGAGACUGCCUGGGAAUAUUAGGUGCUGUAAGCU
rfam:Danio rerio chromosome 12, GRCz11 reference primary assembly.